rnacentral:rRNA from 1 species
ACGCGAGCUGGGUUUAGAACGUCGUGAGACAGUUCGGUCCCUAUCUGCCGUGGGCGCUGGAGAAUUGAGGGGGGCUGCUCCUAGUACGAGAGGACCGGAGUGGACGCAUCACUGGUGUUCGGGUUGUCAUGCCAAUGGCACUGCCCGGUAGCUAAAUGCGGAAGAGAUAAGUGCUGAAAGCAUCUAAGCACGAAACUUGCCCCGAGAUGAGUUCUCCCUGAGACUUUAAGUCUCCUGAAGGAACGUUGAAGACGACGACGUUGAUAGGCCGGGUGUGUAAGCGCAGCGAUGCGUUGAGCUAACCGGUACUAAUGAACCGUGAGGCUUAACCUUAC